UCACACUACUUUGACAAAGCCUGACCUCGUCUGACCUCAGAGGCUAAGCAGGGCCAGGUCUGGUCAGUGCUUGGAUGGGAGACCGCUGGGACUGCCAGGUGCCACAGUGAU
rnacentral:rRNA from 1 species